CCUACGGGAGGCAGCAGUGGGGAAUUUUGGACAAUGGGCGAAAGCCUGAUCCAGCAAUGCCGCGUGCAGGAUGAAGGCCUUCGGGUUGUAAACUGCUUUUGUACGGAACGAAACGGUCUUUUCUAAUACAGAAGGCUAAUGACGGUACCGUAAGAAUAAGCACCGGCUAACUACGUGCCAGCAGCCGCGGUAAUACGUAGGGUGCAAGCGUUAAUCGGAAUUACUGGGCGUAAAGCGUGCGCAGGCGGUUAUGUAAGACAGUUGUGAAAUCCCCGGGCUCAACCUGGGAAUUGCAUCUGUGACUGCAUAGCUAGAGUACGGUAGAGGGGGAUGGAAUUCCGCGUGUAGCAGUGAAAUGCGUAGAUAUGCGGAGGAACACCGAUGGCGAAGGCAAUCCCCUGGACCUGUACUGACGCUCAUGCACGAAAGCGUGGGGAGCAAACAGGAUUAGAUACCCUGGUAGUCCACGCCCUAAACGAUGUCAACUGGUUGUUGGGUCUUCACUGACUCAGUAACGAAGCUAACGCGUGAAGUUGACCGCCUGGGGGAGGUAACGGUCCGCGAGGUUAGUAAACGUUAAAGGUUAAAGUUAGUUAGGCGUUGAGACGAGCGACGGACGACGACGAGGGAGGAGG
rnacentral:rRNA from 1 species